UACGUAGGGGGCUAGCGUUGUCCGGAUUUAUUGGGCGUAAAGAGCGUGUAGGCGGCCAGGUAGGUCUGGUGUGAAAACUCGAGGCUUAACCUCGAGAUGUCAUCGGAAACCAUCUGGCUAGAGUCCGGAAGAGGAGAGUGGAAUUCCUGGUGUAGCGGUGAAAUGCGCAGAUAUCAGGAAGAACACCCGUGGCGAAGGCGGCUCUCUGGUACGUGACUGACGCUGAGACGCGAAAGCGUGGGGAGCGAACAGG
rnacentral:rRNA from 1 species